GCCGAAUAUAGCAAGGAGAAACCAUGGCUAGGGUUUUUCAAGCUUCCAAGGUCGAUUGUAAGUCUGUUCUAGCCUCGUUUUUAAUGAUUUUUACGUUUUUUGAGUCCCGGUAGCUCGAUUUAGCUUAUGCUAGCAAUAAUUUAACCUAGGGUUUAUAUUUGGAAAAAUACCCAUAGGUGAAAUUUGUGUAUUUUGGUGUUUUAUGAUAGAAUAUGAGGUUUUAAAUUAUGUUAGACAACUUGUGCUACUCAGUUUUAAGUGAAAACGAGUAAAAGAGCUUAAUCGGUAAAAAUACCUAAUAGUCAUAAGUACAUGUUAGAGUGAGAAUUUGAUGUUGCCAUAGAAGGGAAAAAUGAUCAGCAUGUCAUAAAACAUAAGAAAAUAGGCUGAAGUUUAAUUUACGAGCUUUGGGGCAAAAGUGUAAAUAUGCAAAAGUUUAGGGGCAAAAUUUUAAUUUUUCCAAAAUAUGAUUUUGGGUCAAUUUGAAUAAUGUGAGUCCUAAUUAGACUAUAUUUUAAAUGAUAGAGCAAGGAAAACUGAAAUUCGGUCUAAAAUGGAGAAAAUACCAAGUUGUGGACGAAAUGGUAAAAGUAGCCAUUUUCGCAUACGAGGUAAGUUCAUAUGUAAAUGUUGGUAACAUAGUUAUUGUUUUAAAUGUUUUAAUGUUAUUUAAAUGAUAUGAUAAUUAUUAUGAAAUAUCAUACUUGUGACAAUUGUUUGAUAAUAUGUCAAAUUAUGUGAUAUACUUGGAAAAUGUGAAAUACUACCGAGUAUCGGUAUCGAUAUUCCAUAGAAGAUGGUUGAGACAUAUGAUUGGGAAAAAUGUCCCGUUGAACCUUAAGAAUGGAUUAGGAUACAAGUGACAUGUCACUGGGAUAUUUGGGCAUCCGAACUCGUUGAGUUGAGUCCGAGUUCACUUAUGGAUGCGAGCAUCCGAACUCGUUGAGUUGAGUCCGAGUUCGAGAGAUGUAACUAGGCAUCCGAGCUCGUUGAGUUGAGUCCGAGUUCACUUAUGGAUGCGAACGCCCGAGCUCGUUGAGUUGAGUCCGAGUUCACUUAUGCGCGGGUUACAUGGUAGCUUGGCUACAUAUGUGGCACUUAUGUGCAAACUUUCCAUGUAUCCGAAUUAUAUUCCGAUGUGUUCAACGGGUAAAGUUCUACAGAAAUGGAGGAAUACUCAAGAUGAAAGGGACGUAUUGGUAAGUGUUGUGAAAUGGGUACUUUGAACAGGUAUGUACUUAACCCUCGGGUUGAAAAAUCGAUAUAACAACAAUAUGGUAAGAUGAUAAAUGAAAAUGUGAUAUGAAUGUCUUGGUGAUGAUUAUGCAAAUGAUGUUUUAUGUUUGCUCAUAUGGUUAUGUUACUUGCUAUUUGCAUGUGAACUUAUUAAGCAUUUAUGCUUACUCCCUCCUUUUCAUUCCUUGUAGUUUUGACAAGCCAGCUCGGAAAUCGGGAACGGUCGGAGGCUUGCUCACACUAUCCGUAUACCAUCUUGGCAUAAUGGCUUGUAUAUUUUGAGUAUGGCAUGUAUAGCAUUAUAAUCAUUUUGUAUAUAUGGUCUUAUGAUAUGGUUAUUGAGUGGUAUGGAAAUGCUUGGUAAUGAUUAGCCAUUGGAAUGGCUAAUCAUGAUCAUAUUUGGUGUUAUGUAUGUCAAAUUGCUAGCUAAUCCAUGGAAACCAUGAAAUAGG
rnacentral:lncRNA from 1 species